rnacentral:rRNA from 1 species
AUGCCCUCAACGGCCUCUCCGAUCGAGAUUUGCCGGUUUUUUUUUUCUUCACGAGGGAGCCGCUGCCGCUGCGAGGAAACAAAACAAUCUCCUGAGGCAAGGACGGUUGUGAAGCAAAGUGAUCAAAUGGCAGCCGAGUCCUCUGUUCCACAAACUUCCUCUGAAUCGGCUGCUCACAAGAUGGGCUUCUUCAGAGUCCCUGAUCUUCUCGUCAAACUGAGCACCAAAUGUUUGAUUGAGUUGGAUGCCGUCCGCAGCCCAACAUCCCCCUUAGACCUGAAAUUGUUCACAGGCCUUGCUACCAGAUCACCCAGAUCGUCCUUCCUUGAUGCCGGCGCAGCCAGCCAGAACCAAAAGAUCUUGCUCGGGGACAGGGUUGGCCUGGGACUGGUGGAUUCUCUCAGUGAUGAAAACAACCCCACACCCUUGGGCAGCAGGAAGGUUCUCCUUGGAUCUGAGAUGAGGAUUACUGACAACUUAACUCUCAAGAACAGCUCCACUGCUCCUAAUCAAGCUGGCCUGCUUGAACAGAAAGAUGAGAAUAUGAGUGAUGGACUCAACGGUAGUAUCAUGUCCCUGGAUGACAUUGUCAAUUCAGAGGAUUACACCUGCGUUGUUACCCGUGGUCCAAACCCUAGAACUACCCACAUUUUUGGAGACCGUGUUUUUGAGUUUCAAGCUGAGCAACUGAUGCCUGAUGAGGGUGGGUGUGAGGAGAGUUUGGCCCCUCAUCUGAAUGGGGAUACCAUGAGCUUCUGUUGUUUUUGCGGUGACAAGCUCAAAGAAGGGAAAGACAUCUAUAUCUACCAGGGUGACAAAGCCUUCUGCAGCAUGGAAUGCCGGGAGAACUUCAUGGAAGAUGAGAUGGAAGGUGAACCUUCGAUAGGUCACUCUGAUCCCAGCGGCCCUUCCUUUGACAAUCGUUGCAUUUUCCAACUGAUCCAGUGA